rnacentral:lncRNA from 1 species
CCAGGCAGGGCAAGACUAGGCAAGGCAAGGCAAGGCCUGGCAACACAAGACAAGUCCAGGCCUGGCAGAGCAAGGCAACUCAAGGCAGGGCUAGGCCAGGCUAGGCAAGGCAAAGCAAGGCCAGGCCAGGCCAUGCAGGCCAGGCAGGGCAAGUCCAGGCAAGGCAAGGCAAGUCCAGGCCAUGCAAGGCAAGGCAAGACAAGUCCAGGCAAGGCAGGUCAAGUCCUUGGAACCCAAGGCAAGUCCUGGCCAGGAAGGGAAAGGCCAGGCAAGGCAAGGCAAGUCCUGGCCAGGCAGGGAAAGGCCAGGCCCUGCCAGGGAAAGCAACGCUAGACAAGGCACGUCCAGGCAAGGCCAGGCUAGACAAAGCAAGGCCAGG